AAUAGCUAAAUGGAGAGUAUAACGUGCAUUAUGCAGUUAACAGUAUACUAGUAUUCUAUCAUGGUGAAUGAUUUAUCCAUUCAUCCAGCCAGGGACUGUUGUUUGAUGGUUCAUUUAAGCAUUUGCAUUUGUCUGCCUGUUGUAAUAUUUUUUAAAAUGUAUCUUUAACUUUAUAUCCGCACUAGUUCUUCUACAACAGUUAAGCAACUUUUAAAACAUCUUUAACUUUAUUUCAGCUCUACUUCAUAGACAACAUUUUUUUUAAGGCAACCUUCAUAACCUAGAUGGUGUAAAAUCGAUGUUUAAUUAGCACAAUGGCUUUUACACUUUUUUAUAACAGGUACAGCAGGCACAUUUUUCUGGAAUAACAGGAGAAAGAAGUGAAAGGAGAAGUGAGAGAAGGAAGGUGUGAGAUUUGGCUCGUGCUCUCACAGCUGUUUUUGAAGUGCUUUUUCUUCUCACAACUGGUAGUUUGAUCAUGGUGAAGAAAUGCAGUGCCAGAGAGAAUAAAUGGAGAAAUGUAGAUGUACACGAGAGACACCAGCUCACACACAAAAUGGAGAGGAGAAGUGAUAAUGAGAGAGUGAAGUUCAUUAGAGAGGGGAGGGAGAUAUGAGAGGACUGCGAAGACCAGAAAACUGGAACAGAUGAAGGAUCUGUGCUGUAGUCAUCCCACACAGAUAUGUAACCUAACUACACACACACACACAUUUUUACUAUCUAAAUAAGGACAUAUCGUAACUUUUGAACUAGUUUCCAGGUUUUUCUAAAUACAUUUACUCUGAUCAACUGCAAAUUCAGGUGGCUGGCAGAGGCUUCUGAUCGGUCUGAAAGCUGGUAACAUGAAAGAAGGAAAAGAUGGCUUGAAAGAACGCGAGAAUGAGGCAUCUGAGGACGUGUCUGAAUACAGGAAGUUAUUUUAGAAGAUCUGGGCGGUGGAGGAGCGCUUGUCUCCGUCUCAAAUGUGCACACUGAUAAAAAAGUGCAGCCAUUUGUAAGCUGAAUGUGCAAGGCUUCCUGUGUCCGCCGCUCCAGAGACCAAUGCAAAUCACAGUGUACCCCGCAAUCAUCUCUGCUGCUCAUUACCCAGAGACACACCUCUGAACGGAUGCUGAGCGCUUGUGACUGAAAGCUUGCGGCAGCUAGAGACAGAGGUUUGACAACAAAGAGCGCUUGUGACCCCAGAAGCCCUGAGCUCCUGUGGAACAGUCACAGUCCUGGUCAAAGUGAUGCACAGGCAAUAAAAGUGGCCAAAAAAGAUUCAAAAUAAAUGAAUGCAUGAAUUAGAAAUGAGUGAUAAUUAAUGGUUGUGCUUAAUGAGCUUCAGAGAGAAGCGGCGACCUAAGGUCAGAUCUGAGAGAAAUUAUGGGGAAAAGAACGAGAGAGCAGACGGAUAAUGGAUGACAGAACAAGCAUAAAAUAGUCAAGUGCUUUAAAUAAAAAAGAAGAGCAAUUGUUUGUCAUUCUGUCAGUCAUAUAAAUAUUAAACCAUAUGUUUCAUCUUUAUUCUCAACCUCUAAUUCUCAAGCUUUUUAAACAUGUGGUUUUCUAUUGCUCCUUUGGGAAGAGUUUGACAUGUAGUAUGUAGUCCUAAAUCAUGUUGCAAAUGCAACUGAAUAUGAAUUUAUAGCAGCUUUGUUAGCAGCA